rnacentral:rRNA from 1 species
ACUCCUACGGGAGGCAGCAGUUAGGGAAUCUUCCACAAUGGGCGAAAGUCUGACGGAGCAAGCCGCGUGAGCGAUGAAGGCCUUCGGGUCGUAAAGCUCUGUUGUUAGGGAAGAGCAAGUAUCGGAGUAACUGCCGGUACCUUGACGGUACCUAACCAGAAAGCCACGGCUAACUACGUGCCAGCAGCCGCGGUAAU